rnacentral:lncRNA from 1 species
UGACCGUGGGUAUUCAUUAGAAGUAAUAUCUCUUCAAAUGAACAACAUUCCAAUGUGAAGGUAGUAUUUUGCCAUCCAUNNNNNNNNNNNNNNNNNNNNNNNNNNNNNNNNNNNNNNNNNNNNNNNNNNNNNNNNNNNNNNNNNNNNNNNNNNNNNNNNNNNCCCUAAGUUUCCAAUUCAUAUGCUCCUUUACCUGCAAUACCAUGAAUCUUAUAGGGUCCUUCCCAUGUUGGACUUAAUUUACAUGCGUUAGCUUCCUUCGUAGAUUGAAAAACCUUUUUAACCACGAAGUCCCCAAUUUUAAAGAAUCUGAGACGUGCUUUCCAGUUGUAAUACCGUUCUACGACCUACUUUUGUGCUAUCAUUCUUAUUAGUGCAACUUCUCUCCUUCCUUCAAGAAAAUCUAGAUUUAUACACAUUUCCUCGUCAUUAGACUCUUCUAUUUCCUGAGUAAACCUUGUACUUGGCUCUCCUAUCUCAGCAAGAAUUAAAGCUUCUGCACCAUAAACGAAGGAAAAUGGUGUUUCCCUAUACUUGUUUUUGUUGUUGUAUGGUAUGCCCAUAAAAUACCAGGCAUCACUUCUGGCCAAUUUCCUUUUGAAUCUUCUAAUCGCUUCUUUAAAUAGUUAAUAAUGAAUUUAUUUGUUGAUUUUGCCAGCCCAUUACCCACCGGAUGAUAAGGUGUAAACGUAAUCCUUUUGAUAUGCCAACUUUGAAAGGAAUCCGAUAUUUUAGCUCCUAUAAAAUGAGGGCCAUUUGUCACACCUCCUUUUGGCUACUACAACCCCGACGGAGGGUGUAGUUAAGGGAGUUUUUCCAAUUAAAGGACAAUCAAAACGAGAUUUAUUUACUAAGAGAUUUCCAGAGUCGCCACUUGGGAGAUUUACAGUCUCCCAAGUCACCGUUUAGAAUCCCGAAUCGAGGAAAGAAUGACUCUAUUUAAAAGUCCACGAACAGAAAUCCAAGUAAGGAAUUCUGUUAACCCGGGAGAAGGUGUUAGGCACUCCCGAGUUCCGUGGUUCUAGCACGGUCACUCAACUGUUAUAUUUGGAUUAAAUUACCUAAUUUUAUACAAUUAUGAACCUAUGUGUAUAUUAAAUCUUUUAACCACUUUUAUUAUUAUUAUUUUUAAGGAGAAUUGCAACGUCGUUGAAACGUGUCGCGAACCACGUCACAUAAAUGCACCCAUAGUUUAUCAUACCUUUGAACUUCGUUGGGAUUUGGAUUUGGGUCACAUAAAUGCACGCCCGCAUUUAGGAAAAGUAAAUUAUUAAGCUAACACGUUUAAAGCAAUUUUGCGUUUACAACUUGUGAGGACCACGAAAAUUCGCUAACUGGUGCCCCUCGAUUCUAAGGGUACUACAUUAAUUUGUGGAAAUUAUAAUGGGGCUACACCUAUUAUUUCACAAGAGGGAAUGAAUAAAUUAACCAUUUGAGGAAUAAUACUAUCACCUGGGUUGAUAUUAAAAUGACUUGGAUCCAAAAUGGGCCAAUUGAAGGAAGGAGUUUGGCCCAGUGAAAGCAAUAAGAAAAUAAAAGGGCAUAGAUAAUAUUGCCAUCCCCAACGACAAAUUCCGAAGUUUUGGGCUCAUAUUUGGCCCAAAUGAGGCAAACAAAUGGACCUUAAUAUCCAAUCUCCAAUAAAGUCCUGGAAAUGCCCGAGUUAUCAAAUUUGCAUUUGCGUACACUUACAAAUAAUAAAAAAUGGACACCCAGGUUUAACCGCCCAUGAGAUUGUAUUUCAUUGUUCGAAUCAAAGCUAAAAUCUCAAUAUGAAAGUUAAAAACAGACAAUGGCUUUGUAAGCCUUGAACUUGAACACUAUGAAUCAUCAUUUCGACUGCUAAGUUUAGGGAAGGGAUCAGUCAGGUAAAUAGGGUUAGCAAUGAGCUUACAACCCCAAAAGCAACCAAAUCAAGUCCUACCAGUCAAUUAGUAGCCAUACAACAGAUUUAUUCAAUGGUGUAAGUCUAAACCAUGGAACUUCAAACCCGAGUAUGCAACAUACAAGCCACAUUUCAAAGCUAAUCUCAGAACGCAAUAACAAUUAGGAAAGAAAUAACAUUGCAUCGAGCUAAUCAUGGCUUAAAUGCUACUCAUCAUCCCUAAGUAUACCUAUCAACAUUCCAAUCAAGGCACUUCUGAAGCUAAAUAUGACAGCACAAACAAAUGAUGAAAGCAAAUAUAACUGACUAUAGACCACUUUAUAUACUAUUAUAUACUUUAAUCUCCAACUUCAACUACAUUUAGAUGAUAACCACGUGUCGUUAGGCAUACCUGGAAGUGAAAAUAAAACCAAAUCAAGUAUUAACAGCCUUGAAUGUAGAGGGUUAGUGACAGGAACAAACUGAUUCAGCAUCGGAAACAAGUGAAGUAAUCCCAGAAACCUCAAUGGAACAAUAAGUUUUGAUCAAAUUGAAUUGGAAACUUUCGAAAAUCAUCAAUUAAAACCCUUCUCCUUCGAAUGAACAAAAAACCAAAGCAAAAAGAACUUCAAAUUUCAGAAAAUC